UAUCUAUCUAUCUAAAAGGAUAGUGGGCAGGGGUCAGCAAAGAGAGGGGCCGUGAGGCAAGAAAACACUUCAAACAGGCUCAAAAACAUAGAUGCCUUCAUACUUCAGCCCCCAGAUUUCAUAUGUAUUUGAGGGAGGGAGACCAAAUCAACAGACAAACCACCUUCUCUGCUGCUGCCCGAAGACUUUGAGAUGCACUUCCUACUGAAAUAGGAGCCUUCCCAUCUCUAACAAUGUUUUAAAAGGCAGUUAAGGCACACUUGAUCACCCAGGCUUUGAAUUAGAUCUACAGAUUUUAACAGUUUUAAUACUGUGUUAUAUUUUAAAUCAUUUUAAUGUUUUCAUAUUGUUUUAAUUUGUAUUUUAUUGUAAACCACACGGAGACGUGAGAUUUGGGCAGUAUGCAAACAUGUUAAAUAAAUAAAUAAAGUGGGCAUGCAUCCCAUACACUCUUA